GACGAACGCUGGCGGCGUGCUUAACACAUGCAAGUCGAACGGAAAGGCCCUGCUUUUGUGGGGUGCUCGAGUGGCGAACGGGUGAGUAACACGUGAGUAACCUGCCCUUGACUUUGGGAUAACUUCAGGAAACUGGGGCUACUACCGGAUAGGAGCUCCUGCUGCAUGGUGGGGGUUGGAAAGUUUCGGCGGUUGGGGAUGGACUCGCGGCUUAUCAGCUUGUUGGUGGGGUAGUGGCUUACCAAGGCUUUGACGGGUAGCCGGCCUGAGAGGGUGACCGGCCACAUUGGGACUGAGAGACGGACCAGACUCCUACGGGAGGCAGCAGGGGGGAAUAUUGCACAAUGGUCGGAAGCCUGAUGCAGCAACGCCGCGUGCGGGAUGACGGCCUUCGGGUUGUAAACCGCUUUCGCCUGUGACGAAGCGUGAGUGACGGUAAUGGGUAAAGAAGCACCGGCUAACUACGUG
rnacentral:rRNA from 1 species